UACAAAUUCAGAAGGAACUCCAAGGCAAACCUCAACAAAAGGAUACUGAGGAAUUUUUCACUUUUUUAAUCUUUGUUUUUUGGCAUUGUUCUCUGAACCUUGAAGAGGAUGUUUUGAUGUUACCAAAGAUAUGGCGGUUUUUGAUAUUAAUAGCAUCCUGAAAAAGUUAAGGUAGAAAUUGCUUUCAACAGAAAUUGACGCAUUGCUAUAUCCAAUAUCUGAAAACAUAGAAACAGCUUUGGAAUAAAUUCACAGGCACAGAAUUCAGAAAUUUUAUGAUGCAUGAUGGAGGAGUCAAGAUUGCUAGGAAAUGAUUUUUUAAAGGAAAUUCUAGGGAUAGCUCAGAAGUUCAGGAGGAAAGGGAAAGGGACACUUCUCUUAGAGGAGACAGAUCAUUAUAGAUAGAACACUGAUAGCUAGAUGGAUAAUAAAAGCUAUUGUAAUGAAUUCUAUGGUAGAAAUGUAGAAAAGGUGAUCUUGGUUAUAUGUUAACAAAGACUACUAUGUUUUUUUGUUCAUGCCUAAUGUUUUAUAAUGGUGUAAUUUUAUAAAGAUUAAGUUGAAUAUUUCCAAUUAUUUGAAAUAUCUAAGUAAAAUGAUAAAAGGGUGGCUUGCAACCAUCUGAUUGAGAACAGGAUGUUAUAAAAGUAAAAGAAUGGAACAAUGGUUAAUUCAGAAACUAUGUUUAACCUCUGCCAAGAUUUGUUAUGAAUAUGAAAAGCAUAAAAUUUAACCAAUCUAUCCUCAUCUAAAAUAUGGAAUUACUAAGCAAAGGGUAACUAAAAUGUAGUGAUUUAGAAAAUCUUCAGUUCAAUUAUAUUGGAAAAAAACCCAAGGAAACAGAAAGUACUACUAAAAUAUAACUACAGUAAGUUCAUGGCCAUGGGAUGGUUUGGUACUCAGAUGACAAGGAUUACAUACUCAGGUACCCCAGUGAAGUCCUAUAACUUCUAACUGAAAGAGAUAGACAAAAUAAGGUAUAAGAAGGGGGUAUUUAUAUUAUUUAUUCUACAGGUGAACUGUAGAGAAAUUCACCUGUCAGUCCGCUUCAUUUUUUUUUAAGAUAAGGGAAGAUGGACUCGAAUAUCAAUUUAUAAAUUUUCAGGGCUGCUAUUUGGUACAGGCACCAAAUUUCUUUUCUUAGGCUAGAUGAUGCCUUUAGAUUUAGGGCUUGGGUUUUGGGCACGGGAGAAGAUUCAGGACUGCUACCUUGAUGGCUCCGGUGGAUAGAACACAACCACGACGAUCUGGACAGCAGAAAAUUGAACUAAGCUCUCUGAAGACAGGAAAUGAACAGUGAAUAUAUUUUAUUCAAAGCCUGCAUGAACCCAUCAAAGGAUAGCAACAAAAAGAGAUCAUUUUACACUUUCUUACUAAGGACACGGUUUGGCGAGGACAACUUCUAAGAAAGCCUCUAUGUAACUCAUGAAAACAACACAUAGUGAGUAUAGAAGAAGAAAAAUGGUAAAUUAAGACUUGUAAGUGCAGAUACGAGGGUCCUGGACUCUACUUGACCUUCAUGCUUCAGCGUUUUCAUCUACUGAAAUGGAAUAUUAGUCCCUGCUUGCUCUAUCUGUGUCUCCUUUGGGAGCAUAGGAACUAUGACUGAUGCCAUGGUUGGGAUAGCAGGAAACCUGGGAAGGCUCUUAUGACUGAAUUUCUACGAGGAAAUAGAAAAUCUAUAAAUAAUUCUCUGAGUCAUUUUUAAUCUCCUAGGUGUGCUAAUAAGUUAUUGUGCACAGGAAAAUGUUUAAUUCUAAUGAGAUUAUGUUUGUAUGCUAUCUACGACUUCAACUAUGUGGCUUAUAUGUAUUCUUGAAAGUAAAGCAGAGAUGUAGAAAUGAGCAAGUACAUACUGACUGUAGAAUUCUAUUAGCAUCCCUGCAUGCUUAAAGUUCUUAAUAAAAAUUUAAUGCUACAUUUAUUAUCUUCUAGUUCAGUCUGAGCUUACAAUGUUUACAUAAGCUUGUAUUUCAAUUGUCUGUUCUCUAUUCUGAUUCUGUUGGCAUACUUAGAUCCCAUUGAGAUUAAGACUUAGCAGUCUUUAAUAGUUUAAGAUUUACUCAUGAACAAUGAUAUUUUUCUGUUUUUAGCUUAUGCAUCUUUAAAGAUUUAUUAUUAAAGUGUUUUCAGAGGUUAAUUACAGAGUUGGGCCUAUAAAACUCAAUUAUUAUGUUAAAGAUUCAGUAGUAUUAUAUGACUCAUGUGAACAGCUUCAAGAGUUUCUGUCCCUGUAAAAUGCUUUGGUUUUUUGGUUUUGUUUGUUUGUUUGUUUUUUAAAUUCAUCUGGAGUUUAUUUUCUUUCUUUGCUGGACUCUAAGACAUUAUUGGUGCAGUGUAAUUAUUCUUUUAUUUCUCUUAAUGAUAUUAGUUUCUGUAGGCAAGGGGCUCUAGUCAUAAUCUUGAAUGGAAAAAGUGUGUAUGUAGUUAACAUUGGUUUCAAGUAGUUAUGCCUCUACUUUUUCCUUAGACAGAAGCCUCGCCCUGCUCUAUUCUUAUUAUAAAAUAUCACAAACACUUGGACCAAGAGGAGAAGGAAAUCUGAAUUAGGCUAUGCAUGUUCAAUUAAAAGUUUAACUUUUACUGAAUAGAAUCAGAGUGAAUAGAAUUGAAACAAUGGAGAAGUGGUAUUUUGAAGAGAAAAAAUAUUUGUAUGUGUCUCCAAUUCUCGUCACCAUGGAACAAUGGAAAGAUCUGUUUGUAAUAAACGAAGAAAGAACCCGAGAAAAUGACAAAGCAAACUCCUUGCCAAAUAAUUCCUUUAAAAAAAAUCCUUGUUUCCGGAGUCAUUUGAGAGACACUUCAACCUCUUGCUUGUACGUCUAUAUAGCUCACUCUAAAAUCACGUCUUAUUUGCCGCAGUUGCUAUCCCAUUCAUUUGUAAUUGGUUUCAAAGCUCUGAGCAGAGCUUCCUUUUGUGCAGCUGUAGUUCCUCUUCUCCCCGGCUACUCUUCAUUCCUGGCAGUCCUAACAAUUGUUGCUCCUUCCUACUUCUGUAUGAAUUCUGUUAUAAGCUUGAUAAAUUCAUAAUAAAUCAUUUU
rnacentral:sRNA from 1 species